UGGGGUGUCGUCCAACGGUAGGACAUGCGGCUCUGGACCGUAGUAUCGAGGUUCAAAUCCUUGCACCCCAG
rnacentral:tRNA from 1 species